CUCUCGAACAACGCCGGAAAACUCACCAGCAUCGACGGACAAAUGAAAGCCAACUUAACGAGUUUGCUGGAUUGUUCGAGAGGUCGUGCAUGGCCGCCGUCAGUUCGUACCGUAAGGCGUUCUGUUAAGUCAGAUAACGAACGAGACCCUCAUCCUUAUUUGCCACCCUAUCGCUUGCGAUAGGACGGGACUAUAAGGAGACCGCUGGCGCUAAGUCAGAGGAAGGCGAGGGCAACGGUAGGUCAGUAUGCGCCGAAUAUGCUGGGCUACACGCGCACUACAAAGGAUGGGACAAUGAGCAGCUACACCGAGAGGUGAUGCGAUCCCGAAACCCAUUCGUAGUUCGGAUCGAGGGCUGUAACUCGCCCUCGUGAAGCUGGAUUCGGUAGUAAUCGCGUCUCAAAAAGGCGCGGUGAAUAUGCCCCUGCUCCUUGCACACACCGCCCGUCAAACCAUCUUAGUUGGGGGUGGAUGAGGCUGCGUCCCUAGGGCGUAUUCGAGUCUGCCUUCGACAAGGAGGGUUAAGUCGUAACAAGGUAUCU
rnacentral:rRNA from 1 species